rnacentral:rRNA from 1 species
GGGCCACCAAUAGCGAAAGCAUCUGACUGGGACGGACCUGACGGUGAGGGACGAAGGCCAGGGGAGCGAACCGGAUUAGAUACCCGGGUAGUCCUGGCUGUAAACAAUGUGGACUAAGUUUCGCGGAGACCACGAGCAUCAGGGGAGACUGAAGAGAAAUCAUUAAGUCCACCGC